rnacentral:tRNA from 2 species
GCGUCCGUAGUGUAGUGGUUAUCACGUCUCUUUCCCAUUGAACCAAGGCUCCAAUAGUCUACUCAGGCGAGAAGAGGAGGGCACGGGUUCGAACCCCGUCGGUCGCA